GACGAACGCUGGCGGCGUGCUUAACACAUGCAAGUCGAACGGAAAGGCCCUGCUUUUGUGGGGUGCUCGAGUGGCGAACGGGUGCGUAACACGUGAGUAACCUGAUCUUGUUUUUGGGAUAGCUUCAGGAAACUGGGGUUACUACCGGAUAGGAGCCCCUGUUGCGUGGAGGGGGUUGGAACGUUUCGGCGGUUGGGGUUGGAUUAGCGGCUUAUCAGCUUGUUGGUGGGGUAGUGGAUUACCAAGGCUUUGACGGGUCCCCGGCCUGAGAGGGUGACCGGCCACAUUGGGACUGAGAUACGGCCCAGACUCCUACGGGAGGCAGCAGGGGGGAAUAUUGCACAAUGGGCGGAAGCCUGAUGCAGCAACGCCGCGGUCGGGAUGACGGCCUGCGGGUUGUAAACCGCUUUCGCCUGUGACGAAGCGUGAGUGACGGUAAUGGGUAAAGAAGCACCGGCUAACUACGUG
rnacentral:rRNA from 1 species